GAUUCUAAUGCGAUUGAACUGAAGGCUUGAUCACUGGGAGAUGAAAUCUGGAACACUUAAGAGACUACAUGGGCCUUCAACCUUGGCUGGUAAGUGGUAAAGGUAAUGCUGGGUGUGGAAUUCGUAAUCGCAUAGCCUAGAGCUUUUGGUGGUGUGGAAACUCCUUUACUAAGCAUGGUCAGAAAAUGAAAGCAAGCCAUAAAUCUGGAUAAUGCUGGCAUUACUUACCCACUCGCACAAGUGGCCAUACCUUUUUCGUUAGAGCUUUCUUUGGAGUUUGGAUGCGUCCUGGUUUAUCCUGUUCUUGGCUUUCUCCAUGUCCUGCGUCCUGCUAAAACUGCCACUCAACACAUUCAUUGCCGAAAUAGAAUGCUAUAAUCUAAAAACAUUGUGUCGUCACCCGCCAGAUUAAUUAUUCCAUUUUUGUACAAAAACCAAAAUCAAAACCAAGUGAGCUUCAUUUUCUUUUAUUUUUGCAUAUAUUUAAGUGUAAGUAAUGAGUUUAAGUAAGUGGCACUUGUAGCAUGGAGGAAGUUUUUGAAGGCAUGUGAUGCUGCGGUGAGUUCUUUUGAUCGGCUUGAUUAUGAUGUAAGUUUGCAUUGCACAGAUAUGAGGAUGGUGGUUU
rnacentral:misc_RNA from 1 species